UUUUUAUGUUUGACAAGACCUUCGGACUUGUGCCUACAUACCAACAUAAAAAUGAGGGAUCAAAACCUCGUAGUUCGUGGUAUCAAUUUCAAAGUGAGUGCAUCGGUUUGAAUGAGUAUUAGUUCUUUUUGGCUUUUGAAAUUUUAAGUCAAGUAUAGUUAAGUUUAUUCACAGGUUUAAUUAAGAAAAGGAGUUUGAAAAUGCAAUGGCA
rnacentral:lncRNA from 1 species